AUUGAACGCUGGCGGCAGGCCUAACACAUGCAAGUCGAGCGGAUGAAGAGAGCUUGCUCUCUGAUUCAGCGGCGGACGGGUGAGUAAUGCCUAGGAAUCUGCCUGGUAGUGGGGGACAACGUUUCGAAAGGAGCGCUAAUACCGCAUACGUCCUACGGGAGAAAGUGGGGGAUCUUCGGACCUCACGCUAUCAGAUGAGCCUAGGUACGAUUAGCUAGUUGGUGAGGUAAAGGCUCACCAAGGCGACGAUCGUUAACUGGUCUGAGAGGAUGAUCAGUCACACUGGAACUGUGACACGGUCCAGACUCCUACGGGAGGCAGCAGUGGGGAAUAUUGGACAAUGGGCGAAAGCCUGAUCCAGCCAUGCCGCGUGUGUGAAGAAGGUCUUCGGAUUGUAAAGCACUUUAAGUUGGGAGGAAGGGCAGUAAGUUAAUACCUUGCUGUUUUGACGUUACCGACAGAAUAAGCACCGGCUAACUUCGUGCCAGCCGCCGCGGUAACAC
rnacentral:rRNA from 1 species